rnacentral:misc_RNA from 1 species
AAAUAAAAAAAAAAAAAAAAACUUUUAAGGGAAAAAUUCGGUUUUGACAUGAAACUGGAUCAGCUAUUUUCGGUCCAGUUCGAGUCUUGUUUCGGUCAAAACCUAUUUGACCAGUUUUGGUUCCGGGUUGGACCGGUCUGAUCCAAACUGGACUGUGACCGCCUCUACCAUUAUCCCCCAACCACUUUAUACAGUAUUGUCAUCCUGAAAUAGAUAUUCUCUUUCUAUUUGCAUUUAUGCAUUAUACCCUUUAUUUGGAAGUCACUUGGGAGAUUUUUGUAUUGGGACUUGGAGUUUAGGGAAGAAAGUUGUUAAGAGCAAUCAAUGUUUUAUACUUUUUUUUUCCCUCAAUACAAUUUACUUAGUUUAUGCAGAGAGUGAUGCGAUGUAGCAAAGGGAUCAUAACCUGAGGAAGAGAAGUAGGUGAUUGUUGGAGGUGCAGGUGAGAUUGGGUGGACAGGGGGUCUAUAGUUGGCAAAAAGAAACUCUAACAUCUAUCUCUCCAACAUUAGAGACCCUCAUUUACCAAUCCAAUUAGCUUUGCUAAAAUUCCUAGAUAGCUUCACAUAAAUAAGUAAUUCCAUGUCACUUGGCCAUGUCAGCAUUGACACAUGGUAGGACAAUAACAACAUCAACAAUUAAGCCUCAAUCCCAUAUUAGUUAGGGUAAGUUAUAUGGAUCUUUUUUGCCAUUUAACUUUGUUUGAGACCAUAUUCAAAGAUUGUAAAUCCUUUGAAACUACUUCCCUCUAUAUUUUAGGUCUCCCCUUUUUUCUUCUCACUCCUUUCACCACUAAUUUAUCGCAUUACCGUACAUGUUCAUUUGAUUCUCUAUGUUGGACAUGGCCAGACUAUCUUAAUUGACACUCAUUGACACAUCGUAGAAGAGGGGGAAAAAAACUAGUGGCUAGAAUGGCUACAGUUAACUAAAUCUGUAGUUGCAAUUAAUAAAAUUUAAAGGCCACGUGUAUAGUUCAGGACCUUUUGUCAAUAUGCCUGUCUAUAUCCUCUCUUCUUCCCAUUGAGAAUCAGAAUUAGCCUAACUGAUUGUGUACAUAGAUAUAGUUGGAUAUCUAGAGUAUAUGGAUUUUACAAAAUUUGAGUCAUAAGUGGCAAAUGUGAUUUAGUUUAGUUAUAUCCCUAAUAUAUUAACUAUCAAGCAACUGACAUUGCCCCAUAAUUGCGGUGGAGUGAAACUGUGGGGAAGAAAUAAUUGUUUCGGGCAAUAAAUCUUCUAUCAUUACUCUAAUCUGAUCACAAACUUUUUAUGGAUAUCUAACACUUGCACAGCUUAUAAUCUGUCUGUCUAUGUACGCUAGAAGUCUAUAUAUUCAGUUACUCCACUAAGAGUUUCAGCAUUGAUUACUGUGAUUUGUCAAAUGAACUCUCAGAUAUUAAGAUCUUAAAAAUAGUAAUCUGUAAAAGCUUUUUGGUGCAAAAAUAAAUACUGUAGCUCUCAUAAUUGCAACAAGUGCAGUUAAAUAGGUUCAACAGUUCAAGUCCUCAAGAGUUUCAUUAUGUCUUAAAUGGAAGAUCACGAGCAGAUUCAGAUCGCCCAUUCUAGUGACAGUAGAAGAUUUUUACAUGUUCUUGUUGGAGGGUCUGUCUAGGUGGUUGGGUUCUGAAAAACAUCUCUUGUGAUGGGUUAAGUAAUAUCGCGUGUUGUGGUGCUUUGGAAGAUAUUGUCAAUGAAAUCCUAUUUGGAAGUGAAAUGCAAAUGGGAACUGUUACAAGUACUUCUACAUUUCCAAAGAAUGAGAGGAUUUCCUGUUGUUACAGUUUUAAAAAGUUCAAUUUGCCUGUCUAUAAACAUUGUACAAUACUUGCACUGUCUUGUUAUGCUUUCUACGAUGUAUAUUGAUAUGGUUCACAAAAAAUGAUGUUUAAUCUAAAAAUAUUUUGUGGUUUUUUUUUUUUAUGCAAGCUAAAAUUGUUUCCCUUGCUCCAUCGCAGCUUCAUCCAG